GCUCCGGUGGCCUAGUGGUUAGAGCGACCGCCUCGGAUUCGGGAGGACGUGGGUUCUAUUCCCGGUCGAGUCA